AUGGAAUGCACUUCUCCCUCCUCGAGGCUGUCACUCCUCCGGAGUGCAAACCGGACAAAUUUAGCCCCGGUUCAGUGUCAGAUGACACAGAUCCAGGCUGCUGUUUUUCAGCUGGGGCUUUCUCAGCUUCGCGGGAGUCGCCUUGUGCCGGAGGGCAGCGCCGUGCCGUGCAGGACGCAGCGCCAUGCACGGGGCCGGCGGGGACCGCCUCGCCCGGGAGCAGCCUGUGCAGCGCGAAGGGACGGUCCCCAUCCGCAGAGCGGAUUUAGCAUUUAUUUAGCAAGCGGCGUCCGCCGUAGCGCGCCAAGCAGGCUGCAACGAAUACGUUUGCAGGUGCGACCGCCGAGUUUGGGGGGGUUUUCCCGGCAUGUAUCGGGCCAUCUGACAGCCCCUGGGAGCAUCUGCCCAGCCUGUCUCCAUCCGCCCAGUCCGUCCUCUAACUUACCUGCGGCUCCAUUGCAAAAUCCCCCGUUCCAGGCCCCGUUACCGGGCGCCCCAGCACGCCCCAGCCCAGCUCCUCCGCCAUGCCCAAGUCUGCCGUGGGGCAGAUGCAACGGAAGAGGCGAAGGGCUGCGGGUCGGCACGGGACGGAGCCGUGCUGGUCCCUGCCGGCAGGUCUUUCYGAGAGACCCCGCGCGCUCCUCGGCCGGCCACCGCGUUGUGCUCCAGCUCACCUCUCCUGCAUCCCAGGCCCUGGCAUGUGCCGAAACAGCCKCUUUCCCAGGGAAAAGGCAGCCCGACGCCAGCCCCAGCCCCAGCCCCCUCCAUCGCCCCAGCCCCUUCGCUAGGAAACGAGUGCAGUUUCAAUCCAGAGCACACUUUGGGGCCGAAGCGGCAGAUUUCACGAUUCCCCUCCCUCCUGCCACGUCCAUCCCCGCAGCCGAGCAAAACCCACCUCGGCCGGAGCGAGGCGCAAACGUGCCUGGCACGGCGACGCUCGCUGUGUGCACCUGGAAACCAAGGAAACUUCAGCCUCCACUGAUUUUUUUUAUUAUUAUUUUUAAUGCACAGUUACCAAAUCRCAAGCCUCAAAGCUUUGCUAAUUAG
rnacentral:lncRNA from 1 species